GUUGGUGGAUCCUGCCGUGUCAUCGAAGUUCCUCAGGCUGAGGAUUGUCUGCAGCCUGUAAUUAACAUAGUUCCAUUGCAGCUAUUGGCUUAUCAUCUCACCGUUCUAAGGGGACACAAUGUUGAUCAACCUCGGAAUCUUGCAAAGAGUGUAACCACCCAAUGAACCACACAAAAUUUUUAUUUUUUUAUUUUUCUCUUCACUCCUUUCUUGGUUGCGGAAAUUUGUCUCAAGCUGCAGAUAUUCCAUCUGACCACGAACCGUUAAUCUGCCAUGUUUCCCUCUGCUAAUUCUUGUGACCCUAUACGAUAAACGAUUGAGAUUUGAUGCUUGAUAUGAUUAAAAAAAAUAACUUUAUUCCCUGACCUUGUUGAUUCCUUUUUCAUCCAGAUGAACGGUGAUUGUACCUCACUACAUUUCCGCUGCUUGCUUUGUGUAAUAUAAUCUCUCUUCGAAGUAGUAA